ACUCCUACGGGAGGCAGCAGUGGGGAAUAUUGCACAAUGGGGAAACCCUGAUGCAGCCAUGCCGCGUGUGUGAAGAAGGCCUUCGGUUGUAAAGCACUUUCAGUAGGGAGGAAGGUAGUGUAGUUAACACCUGCACUAUUUGACGUUACCUACAGAAGAAGCACCGGCUAACUCCGUGCCAGCAGCCGCGGUAAUACGGAGGGGUGCGAGCGUUAAUCGGAAUUACUGGGCGUAAAGCGCAUGCAGGCGGCCUGUUAAGUCAGAUGUGAAAGCCCGGGGGCUUAACCUCGGAAUUGCAUUUGAAACUGGCAGGCUAGAGUCUUGUAGAGGGGGUAGAAGUUUCAGGUGUAGCGGUGAAAUGCGUAGAGAUCUGAAGGAAUACCAGUGGCGAAGGCGGCCCCCUGGACAAAGACUGACGCUCAGAUGCGAAAGCGUGGGGAGCGAAACAGGAUUAGAUACCCUGGUAGCACAGAG
rnacentral:rRNA from 1 species